rnacentral:rRNA from 1 species
AAGCUGGAGCUUGCUCCGGCCGGUUUAGUGGCGGACGGGUGAGUAACGCGUGGGUAACCUGCCUCAUACAGGGGGAUAGCAGUUGGAAAUGACUGGUAAAACCGCAUAAGCGCACGGUGUUGCAUGACACAGUGUGAAAACACUCCGGUGGUAUGAGAUGGACCCGCGUCUGAUUAGCUAGUUGGUGAGGUAACGGCCCACCAAGGCGACGAUCAGUAGCCGGCCUGAGAGGGUGAUCGGCCACAUUGGAACUGAGAGACGGUCCAAACUCC